rnacentral:rRNA from 1 species
GAUGAACGCUGGCGGCGUGCCUAAUACAUGCGAGUCGAGCGAAUGGAUUAAGAGCUUGCUCUUAUGAAGUUAGCGGCGGACGGGUGAGUAACACGUGGGUAACCUGCCCAUAAGACUGGGAUAACUCCGGGAAACCGGGGCUAAUACCGGAUAACAUUUUGAACCGCAUGGAUCGAAAUUGAAAGGCAGCUUCGGCUGUCACUUAUGGAUGGACCCGCGUCGCAUUAGCUAGUUGGUGAGGUAACGGCUCACCAAGGCAACGAUGCGUAGCCGACCUGAGAGGGUGAUCGGCCACACUGGGACUGAGAAACGGCCCAGACUCCUACGGGAGGCAGCAGUAGGGAAUCUUCCGCAAUGGACUAAAGUCUGACGGAGCAACGCCGCGUGAGUGAUGAAGGCUUUCGGGUCGUAAAACUCUGUUGUUAGGGAAGAACAAGUGCUAGUUGAAUAAGCUGGCACCUUGACGGUACCUAACCAGAAAGCCACGGCUAACUACGUGCCAGCCGCCGCCGUAA